rnacentral:rRNA from 1 species
GCUCACGGCCAUAUCAGCCUGGGUACUCCCGAUCUCGUCUGAUCUCGGAAGCUAAGCAGGGUCGGGCCUGGUUAGUACUUGGAUGGGAGACCGCCUGGGAAUACCAGGUGCUGUAAGCA